rnacentral:rRNA from 1 species
CAUGCAAGUCGAACGCUGAAGCCCCAGCUUGCUGGGGUGGAUGAGUGGCGAACGGGUGAGUAACACGUGAGUAACCUUCCCUUGACUCUGGGAUAAGCCCGGGAAACUGGGUCUAAUACCGGAUACGACCUCCUGCCGCAUGGUGUGGGGGUGGAAAGAUUUAUCGGUUUUGGAUGGACUCGCGGCCUAUCAGCUUGUUGGUGAGGUAAUGGCUCACCAAGGCGACGACGGGUAGCCGGCCUGAGAGGGUGACCGGCCACACUGGGACUGAGACACGGCCCAGACUCCUACGGGAGGCAGCAGUGGGGAAUAUUGCACAAUGGGCGCAAGCCUGAUGCAGCGACGCCGCGUGAGGGAUGACGGCCUUCGGGUUGUAAACCUCUUUCAGUAGGGAAGAAGCGAAAGUGACGGUACCUGCAGAAGAAGCGCCGGCUAACUACGUGCCAGCAGCCGCGGUAAUACGUAGGGCGCGAGCGUUAUCCGGAAUUAUUGGGCGUAAAGAGCUCGUAGGCGGUUUGUCGCGUCUGCCGUGAAAGUCCGGGGCUUAACCCCGGAUCUGCGGUGGGUACGGGCAGACUAGAGUGCAGUAGGGGAGACUGGAAUUCCUGGUGUAGCGGUGAAAUGCGCAGAUAUCAGGAGGAACACCGAUGGCGAAGGCAGGUCUCUGGGCUGUUACUGACGCUGAGGAGCGAAAGCAUGGGGAGCGAACAGGAUUAGAUACCCUGGUAGUCCAUGCCGUAAACGUUGGGCACUAGGUGUGGGGGACAUUCCACGUUUUCCGCGCCGCAGCUAACGCAUUAAGUGCCCCGCCUGGGGAGUACGGCCGCAAGGCUAAAACUCAAAGGAAUUGACGGGGGCCCGCACAAGCGGCGGAGCAUGCGGAUUAAUUCGAUGCAACGCGAAGAACCUUACCAAGGCUUGACAUGUU